rnacentral:tRNA from 1 species
AGUCUUAUGGUGAAAUUGUUCAUAUUAGGUUGCAGCCCUAAAGAUACAGAAUAUUUGUUAAGACUU